AUUUGGGUAAGCUCAGUUGAAAGAGCAUCAGACUGUAAAUCUGGAUGUCACUGGUUCGAUCUCAGUUCCGGAGA
rnacentral:tRNA from 1 species